GACAGAGGUGCCGAGCGUUAGGCGGAAUCACUGGGCUUAAAGCGUGUGUAGGUGGAUGCCUAAGUACCUUGUGAAAUCCCACGGCUUAACCGUGGAACUGCUCGGUAUACUGGGUGUCUUGAGCCAGCUAGGUGCUACCGGAACAAAUGGUGGAGCGGUGAAAUGCGUAGAUAUUCGGAGGAACACCAGUGGCGAAGGCGGCUCACUGGUCCGGUACUGACGCUGAGGUGCGAAAGCGUGGGGAGCAAACAGG
rnacentral:rRNA from 1 species